rnacentral:rRNA from 1 species
AGUCGAGGGGCAGCGCGGGGCGGCAACGUCCUGGCGGCGACCGGCGGAAGGGUGCGUAACGCGUGAGCGACAUGCCCGUUGCCCGGGGACAACCGGUGGAAACGCCGACUAAUCCCCGAUGGGACGGAGGCCCUCAUGGGUCUCUGUUGAAAGUUACGGCGGCGACGGAUUGGCUCGCGUCCGAUUAGCUUGUUGGCGGGGUAACGGCCCACCAAGGCUACGAUCGGUAGGGGUUCUGAGAGGAAGGUCCCCCUCAAUGGAACUGAGACACGGUCCAUACUCCUACGGGAGGCAGCAGUGAGGAAUAUUGGUCAAUGGGCGGAAGCCUGAACCAGCCAUGCCGCGUGCGGGAAGGAGGCCCUAUGGGCUGUGAACCGCUUUUGCCUGGGGGCAAUAAGGGCGUCGCGCACGUCCGAUGAGAGUACCAGGGGAAUAAGCAUCGGCUAACUCCGUGCCAGCAGCCGCGGUAAUACGGGGGAUGCGAGCGUUAUCCGGAUUCAUUGGGUUUAAAGGGCGCGUAGGCUGUGCGUCAAGUCAGGGGUGAAAUUCCGGGGCUCAACUCCGGGGCUGCCCUUGAUACUGUCGCGCUGGAGUGCGGAUGCCGCCGGAGGAAUGAGUGGUGUAGCGGUGAAAUGCUUAGAUAUCACUCAGAACACCGAUUGCGAA